UUUCCCAUUUAUCUUUACCUGAGGUGUCUUUGCAGUUCUUUCAAUGCCUGUUUGUAGUCAUUAAAUCUAUUAAAAAGUGAAAAUCCUGACAAAUUUUUAAAGCAGGUGUAAGAAAACUCUGUUUGACUGUUAUAACUUACUAUCUUCAAUAUGCCCAAUAUAUAUGCUCCAAUACCCUGACUUCAUGGACGUAAAAUUAACCUUGAAACUAUGGGAUUGAAAGUCUAGUGGGGUUAAGCUACGUUUUUCUAUAUUUCAACACCCUCACGAGCUAGAUCACAUAGAUAUUUCAAGCUUAUAUAGUUUACAAUUACAAAACCAUAGCGAAAAACCAAUACUCCCCCUCACUCGAAACCUACAAAGAGAAAGACAUGGUUAGAGGAUGAUAGUGAUCAAUGGUGGACCAUACAUAUUAUUGAGUCGGGGCGAAACUAAAGCAAUUCAAAACAUGGUAAAAAUGUUAAUGACAAAGUAUAGAACACCAUUGAUUAGAUAAAAUGGUUCAAAUACAAAAUAUAUUAUAAAUCAAAAAAUACACACACACACAUAUACAUAUGACAAUUGACAAACUACGAGAUAGUGCUCCUUUAUGUUUUAUUGUGUUUUGAAAUUGCUAUAAAAUUGUCUCAUUUGAUACAUGAUUGAUGAUUAAAAAAAAAAAAAGUCUUCUUAAAAUACAAACACUAAGCAAUCAUUUAAAGCUCAUUACCACAUAUGACACAUUAUAAAUCUCACAAAUUAACACACAUUAUUAAGUACAAAUACUCGACUAAAAAUAAAUAUAUAAACCUUAUAUCAAUCACAAAUUAAUCUACAUUAUAAAUUUCACAAUUUGAUAUCAAUCACAAACUAGCACACAUUAUACGUUUCACAAAUGUACAAAUCACAAAUACAAUUAGACAAUUAAGUGUACAAAUUUGGAGUUGUAUUUUAAAAAUAUAAACAUACACAAUACUAAUUUCAAAAAUAAAAAAUUCAGUGGGGGGCCACUGCCCCAUAGUAAAUCCGCCCCUGAUAGUUAUGGAUGUGAAUAGCCUUGAAAACAGUGUAGUGUGCAUAGCACUAGAAUGAAGAUGCCAAAGAGUGGAGCAAAAUGCAAACAUCCUCAAAACAAUGCGACAACAAAUGGAAACACUCUAGGGCAUGGCAUAAAAAA